rnacentral:rRNA from 1 species
UACUUGUACCGACUGGAUGAGCAGCGAACGGGUGAGUAACGCGUGGGGAAUCUGCCUUUGAGCGGGGGACAACAUUUGGAAACGAAUGCUAAUACCGCAUAAAAACUUUAAACACAAGUUUUAAGUUUGAAAGAUGCAAUUGCAUCACUCAAAGAUGAUCCCGCGUUGUAUUAGCUAGUUGGUGAGGUAAAGGCUCACCAAGGCGAUGAUACAUAGCCGACCUGAGAGGGUGAUCGGCCACAUUGGGACUGAGACACGGCCCAAACUCCUACGGGAGGCAGCAGUAGGGAAUCUUCGGCAAUGGACGAAAGUCUGACCGAGCAACGCCGCGUGAGUGAAGAAGGUUUUCGGAUCGUAAAACUCUGUUGGUAGAGAAGAACGUUGGUGAGAGUGGAAAGCUCAUCAAGUGACGGUAACUACCCAGAAAGGGACGGCUAACUACGUGCCAGCAGCCGCGGUAAUACGUAGGUCCCGAGCGUUGUCCGGAUUUAUUGGGCGUAAAGCGAGCGCAGGUGGUUUAUUAAGUCUGGUGUAAAAGGCAGUGGCUCAACCAUUGUAUGCAUUGGAAACUGGUAGACUUGAGUGCAGGAGAGGAGAGUGGAAUUCCAUGGGUAGC